UUCUUCCCAGGCACUCGGACACUGUGUUCAGUUACAGCUGUGUCCUCUACCCAGGGCAAUUUUGUCCCUGAGAGGACACUUGGUAAUGUCUGGAGACAUUUUUGAUUGUCACAACUUGAGAGUGGGGGUUGCUACUGGCGUCUAGUGGGUAGAGGUCAGAGAUACUAGGAAACAUCUUACAAUGCAGAGGACAGCUCCCCCCAGAUAAUUAUCUGGCCCCUAAUGUCCAUCAGGCUGAAGUUAAGAAACCCUGGGUUAGAGAACAGGUGGUUGAUAGGGCCCUCCAGGGCUGAGGAAAUGAAGAGACGCUCCUCUCUGAAGUUGUAGGAGGUGCUGUAAUCAGAGGAGUUUGCUGAUGAAAUUCUAGGUGGCAAGGAGCUUCAGUAAGUCCAAGAGAAAAAUCUGACUGGCACACAGAAUCAAAGGACUGAUCUGCUUCUGGGGAAAGCAAAGACUGGAGAUGGAAAUUGCUGCUAUUGAAGAUGUGGAUGUGUGAUUGUGGACUAGGAAAUGCCUAAGGACCAGGUGUUAAUUCCAAGAGCACGUCCCAAUAAAUGCCCACAUGCCAAUCUCUGAUUCCAUCUGCUUUCCACAGAAUCCAACCUGCACCUGCAGACAGAGAGGAUUUGGACAGGGGUUAUAGCUACUCUUACAGAAGACAUAAGAAGAUAUAUACGCAGAGAAGACAUCAUAAGACCUGAAGAUGAAAAACUUCUGAUCACAGAAGAAAGAUAUACAACAGCCUUGAAGCAUUCUGAGAACCCAGUGAAGGCAAUAAUGUCUCUUCCCAGAGAAAUUCACAGAAUUAUGCAAACUUGGCUCAAUUGUCUUCUGGCAUAAUUGGUGCUACAGAGAACAUUGAGAUCUGGGCUACAUUUUGCCAAGGAGAGGAACAUCUGUGGAGUCUGGAAAGUGGAAGUAAAUCGGAAGCUUUAUUCUCUGGAGGUGGUGGCUGCCAGAUGAACAUGCACAUAUGAGUCAGCCUCAGGCAGAUUUGUUCUCUUACCUGAAUUCCCAGCCCUGUCUUCUGCCAUUUCUGGGACUGCAUGGAGCCUGACCCAGCAGUGGGCACAGAAACAUGCAGGUGCAGAAAUACUGAGGAUGAAAAGCUUACUGUAGCUUUGCAACAGCUUGAAGAUAUUGAACUGAAAUCUGAAAUGCGUUAAGGAGCAAGACACAGAAGACAUGGAGAUCCAUGUAGAAUCAUAAGAAGGUAGCCCCUAGAAGCUUGGAACUGCCCUCAGACUACAGCCAGGAAGCAGACAGGGACUUCAGUUCCACAGCCACAAGGAGCUGAAUUCUGCCAACCAGAAUGAGCAAGAACAUGGAUUCUCCCCUCAAGCCUCCAGAAAAGAAUGCAGCCUACAGUCAGCACUUUAAGUCCCAUGCAACCUAUAAUAGAUUUCUGACCUACAGAGCUUUAAUGUCAUAAAUUGGUGUUGUUUUAAGUCAUGAAGUUUGUGGUAGCUUCUUAUGACAGUAAUUGAAAACUAAUACCUGGUCUUUUUAGCAGAAUAACGAGCACCCUGUAAUGUGUCAUUCAUGCAUAUCUUUUUUUUUUUUUUUUUUUUGGUGGGGGCAGGAAGACAAAACUCUAGAGUUUAAUCUUCCAGCUGACUGACUUGGAAGUGUUCCUGUCAAUAUAAAAGAUCUUGUUGGGGG
rnacentral:lncRNA from 10 species